AAACAAAAAAACAGUCAUUUCAAUUCCGGGAAGUUUGUCUAGGUUUCCAUUAGUUGCCUUAGCCACGUAACGAAUUUACACUUUACAUACAAGUAUUUUAAUAGGCAAAAUAUGAGGGUCCUCCUCAUCAGUGUUCUGUGUAGGCCAGCGAACAUGGCGGAAACGGGAACUAACCAGACGCAGCAGCAAACAGUUGGACGUGCGUUUGGAUACAGGUGCAGUGAUGAGGUCACAGAGGGGAACCUGCGGGGCGGGGCAUGGCGGCUCUGCGUGUUCUCGGACAAGCCCCCCCUUCCCCCUCGACCCCCCCCAACCCCCCCCCCCCCCCCCCCACCAUCUCCCCGGCUGGAAUCGCGACCUCAUCUCGGCCUGAUAAUGAGCAGGUUUGGAACAUCUCAGAGGCUAGUCUCUUCUACAGCUUUGUCACGGAGUUCAGAUAAUGUUUCAUCAUGCAAGAGGCCAAACGUACAACUUGCCAACUUGAUCCACGAUUGAGAUACUUUGGGCAUUUGCAGUCUGCCUGAAAUUAGCAUCUUGUUUACUAAGGCUACGGCUAAUAGCGUAAUAAGCUACUGGGACUGCCUGCUAUUCACAUUUUGUGAAUGAAGCAGAGCUUGAAAUGUGCUGUUAAAGAAAACAAAGUGCAUUGACUCAUAUAAACUCUGUAAGAGUUGAUUUAACACUGAACACUGUGCUGUGUAUCUUUAUGGGAUGGGGGGGACAUUGAUGUAUUUUCUCGUGCCAUGUAAAAGAAUAUCCAGCACUGUGAACAGCACAGAACGAAAUGCCUAUAUUCCAGCUGUGGCAACAACUGCUGAUUGAAUUGGUCCGAAUGUGAGAGAGUGUAAUGUUGCAAGCAGCUUUACUGUUGCCAGGAUAGAAGGAGAACAUGUGGGAGGUUCGAGGCCAUCUUUUACUUCUUCCAGAAGAGUUAUUAUUUCUGUGGCUGGGUUUUUCUCACAGAAGUCACCGGUGUCACAGAUUCCAUUCUUUUUGUCUUUUUUUUGGUAUUGCCAUGAAUUUCACCAUUUCCAUGAUUUUUCGAGCGCUGUUCCUGUAACUAGGUAAUGUUGUCAGUGACAACAGGCGCUCAAAGACUCAAACCUCGCAACGUGUACCAAAUCUAACUU